GAUGAAGAACGUAGCGAAAUGCGAUACUUGGUGUGAAUUGCAGAAUCCCGUGAACCAUCGAGUCUUUGAACGCAAGUUGUGCCCGAAGCCAUUAGGCCGAGGGCACGCCUGCCUGGGCGUCACACGUCGUUGCCCCCCCAUCUACUCCUUCGGGAUUGCGGGGGGCGGAUGAUGGCCUCCCGUGCGCCUCGUCGCGCGGUUGGCAUAAAUGCCAAGUCCUCGGCGACACACGCCACGACAAUCGGUGGUUGCGAAACCUCGGUUGCCCGUCGUGUGCGGUCGUCGCGCAUCGAGGGCUCGAAAAAAUUGCCGGGCUCCGGCUCGGCUUUCAACGCGACCCCAGGUCAGGCGGGGUUACCCGCUGAAUUUAAGCAUAUCAAUAAGCGGAGGA
rnacentral:misc_RNA from 1 species